AUUGAACGCUGGCGGCAUGCCUUACACAUGCAAGUCGAACGGUAACAGGUCUUCGGAUGCUGACGAGUGGCGAACGGGUGAGUAAUACAUCGGAACGUGCCCGAGAGUGGGGGAUAACGAGGCGAAAGCUUUGCUAAUACCGCAUACGAUCUCAGGAUGAAAGCAGGGGACCGCAAGGCCUUGCGCUCACGGAGCGGCCGAUGGCAGAUUAGGUAGUUGGUGGGAUAAAAGCUUACCAAGCCGACGAUCUGUAGCUGGUCUGAGAGGACGACCAGCCACACUGGGACUGAGACCAGGCCCAGACUCCUACGGGAGGCAGCAGUGGGGAAUUUUGGACAAUGGGCGAAAGCCUGAUCCAGCCAUGCCGCGUGCAGGAUGAAGGCCUUCGGGUUGUAAACUGCUUCUGUACGGAACGAAAAGACUCUGGUUAAUACCUGGGGUCCAUGACGGUACCGUAAGAAUAAGCACCGGCUAACUACGUGCCAGCAGCCGCCGUAAGAC
rnacentral:rRNA from 1 species